rfam:Schistosoma curassoni strain Dakar, Senegal genome assembly, scaffold: SCTD_scaffold0001109
AUGGAGCUGACGAGUCACAAAUAGGACGAAACGCGCGUCCUGGAU